rnacentral:rRNA from 1 species
GACGAACGCUGGCGGCGUGCUUUAGGCAUGCAAGUCGAACGCGAAAGCCCCUUCGGGGGUGAGUAGAGUGGCGAACGGGUGAGUAACACGUGGGUAACCUGCCCCUCGCAGGGGGAUAACCGGGGGAAACCCCGGCUAAUACCCCGUACGCUUGCUGGGGCGCAUGCUCCGGCAAGGAAAGGUAGCUUCGGCCAUCCGGCGAGGGAGGGGCCCGCGGCCCAUUAGCUAGUUGGUGGGGUAACGGCCCACCAAGGCGACGAUGGGUAGCUGGCCUGAGAGGGUGGUCAGCCACACUGGGACUGAGACACGGCCCAGACUCCUACGGGAGGCAGCAGCCAGGAAUCUUGCGCAAUGGGCGAAAGCCUGACGCAGCAACGCCGCGUGGGCGAUGAAGGCCUUCGGGUCGUAAAGCCCUGUUGUCGGGGACGAAGGGCGAGGGGUUAAUAGCCCCUAGCCUGACGGUACCCGACGAGGAAGCCCCGGCUAACUACGUG